rnacentral:pre_miRNA from 1 species
UAUGUACUCCCUGCGUCCUAAAUUUUUUGUCUUAAAUUUGUCUAAAUAUGAAUGUAUCUAGUCACAUUUUAGUAUUUAGAUACAUUUAUUUCUAGUCAAGCUUAAGAUAAGAAUUUUGGAACUGAAGGAGUACUAU